GUCGUAACAAGGUUCGCCAGUGUCGCUGACAAGCUCUUUUCAACGAAAAGUCUGUCAGUACUCACACCUAUGGAAGCCUUGCAUUUCAGUCUAUCUCGUAUAGGCAACAUCGACAUGGUGCUGGGAUUUCACCCUUGCCGGUGAGUACCAGCAGCCGCUAACGCGGCUCACAGAUCAAACGUCGGUGGUCCGGUGAGGCUGUGAUUCUCUCUUGUAACGUUACUCGAAGUGUCCACCUCGACUGCUCCCGGGCUCAGAUAUGACCGGCCUCGUCACGAAAGGGAUGAGAACUGCCGCGUUCCGUAGGUGAACCUGCGGAAGGAUCAUUA
rnacentral:rRNA from 1 species